rfam:Salmo salar isolate Sally breed double haploid chromosome ssa22, whole genome shotgun sequence.
UGCAAUCACUACUGUAAGUCGCUCUGGAUAAGAGCGUCUGCUAAAUGACAAAAA